rnacentral:tRNA from 1 species
UGGAGACUUACUCAAGUGGCUGAAGAGGCGCCCCUGCUAAGGGUGUAGGUCGGUUUAUACCGGCGCGAGGGUUCGAAUCUCUCAGUCUCCGU